rnacentral:misc_RNA from 1 species
AGGGAUCAUUAACAUCUUAUCCUUGCUAGAUUAAAAGGGUCUUUAAACCAUCCUUUUAAUCUAGCACUCAUACACAAGUGUCUUGGAUUAAGUCCAACAUUUUAUUCUAAAAUCGCUUACUCAUAUGCUUAAUUAAAAUUGGGUUUCUUAAUCGGAAAUUCGAUCAUCUAGUGGUGAAAGCCUCUGGUUUUUAAUUAAACACGACUGUUAGCAACGGAUCUCUCGGCUCUU